AGUAGUAAUAUGGAUAUUUUUGGAUUAUAAAUAAAAAUAACCAAGAACACAUCUCGUUCGUCCAUCUCAGUUUAAAUGCCCUUAGGGUUGGUCUCCAGCGUCUAUAAAUACGGGCGAACCCUAGUUGUACUCACAGGCAGGAGGACGCCACAGGGGAAACAACGUUGGGGAGCUGAGACAGGGAGUCGAGAUAUAGGGAUAUGAGGGCUAAGUGGAAGAAGAAGCGUAUGCGCAGGCUGAAGAGGAAGCGCAGGAAGAUGAGACAGAGAUCCAAGUAGGAGGGUGAGCAGUUGCAGGAGUUCCUAAUUUUAAUUCUCGUCGGUUGCUGUUUGAAUUGCUGGCACUAAACUUUAAUUUUAAUUCUUGGAUAUCCAAUUUUUGAACUUCAGUUUUUGUUUAUUAAAGUUAAAAUUGUCUUCAUUUAACUUUUGUCUUAUAUAUGGAAUCAUGCUUGCGAGAUGUUCAUAGUA